UGCACAAGCGAUUAAAAUGCGCCAAUCAUUCUCUACCGGUCCAAGUGUCGAAAUGGUAGAUGAUUCUUCAGUGACUCAUUCACACAAAAAAAUGUUCACAUUUUCACUUUCACAGUAUUGAGACAUGCUGGAAACCUCCAUGCAGGCAAGCAGGUUCAAGAAGUAGGAAGGGGGUAGAUUAUUAUUUAUUGGACCACGUCAUUCUUCUCCGAUCAGUGUGCUGUGUUAAAUCAUCAGAUCUGAUGCGUUUGAAGAAGAAGAGCAAUCCACCAGAGAUUAAGCAGUCGUGGAUGAAUGCUCGAUGUCAUCCGAGAUGUGCGUUUGACAGCCUUCCACACAUUUUGCCCCGCUAAGAAGCUCAAAGCCAAGCUGGCAACCUCCAAAGGAAGGUCAGCCAGCAGCAGACUCUGCGUGAGGACCCCAAACCUCCAGGCCCGUCCCAGUCCUUCCUUUCCAUGCAGAGGCAAUCAUCCCGCAGGAGGAAGGGAUUGCAACCCCGGUAGAAGCAUCCUAUUGGUGAGGACGGACAUGUAGGAUGGGCAUUUACUGUAUGUCCUCAUGGACACCGAAGAAAUCGAGGACGGUCCGUUUAAUUUCAUAGUGUGGUUGAUUUCAUGUGUUGCUACCCCCCUCUGCUGGCAAAUGAUGUAAUUUAUCUUUCUGCGCCUUGUGACAUGAGGUACACUAUAAUCUAAAAGGCUACUAUAAAAUGUAUCCUAGCAAAUUAUGCAAUAUAACAAUCAAUAUUCCUUG